rnacentral:rRNA from 1 species
UACGGAGGGUGCAAGCGUUAUCCGGAUUCACUGGGUUUAAAGGGAGCGUAGGUGGGCAGGUAAGUCAGUGGUGAAAUCUCCGAGCUUAACUCGGAAACUGCCAUUGAUACUAUUUGUCUUGAAUAUUCUGGAGGUAAGCGGAAUAUGUCAUGUAGCGGUGAAAUGCUUAGAUAUGACAUAGAACACCAAUUGCGAAGGCAGCUUGCUACGGAACUAUUGACACUGAGGCUCGAAAGCGUGGGGAUCAAACAGGAUUAGAAACCCCGGUAGU